GAUUAACGCUAGCGGCAGGCCUAAUACAUGCAAGUCGAACGGGAUCAGGGAGCUUGCUCCCUGUGAGAGUGGCGCACGGGUGCGUAACACGUAUGCAACCUACCUUCAACUGGGGGAUAGCCUGUCGAAAGGAAGAUUAAUACCGCAUAACAUAAUUGAAUGUCAUCAUUUGAUUAACAAACGUCAGGGUUGAAGAUGGGCAUGCGUCCGAUUAGCUAGUUGGUGUGGUAACGGCACACCAAGGCGACGAUCGGUAGGGGAUCUGAGAGGAUGACCCCCCACACUGGUACUGAGACACGGACCAGACUCCUACGGGAGGCAGCAGUAAGGAAUAUUGGUCAAUGGACGCAAGUCUGAACCAGCCAUGCCGCGUGCUGGAAGACGGUCCUCUGGAUUGUAAACUGCUUUUGUUAGGGAAGAAACCCUCGGAUGCGUCCGGGGCUGACGGUACCUAAAGAAUAAGGAUCGGCUAACUCCGUGCCAGCAGCUGCCGUAACAC
rnacentral:rRNA from 1 species